UAGUCCACGCAGUAAACGAUGAGUGCUAGUCGCUGGGACAUUAGUUUCAGUGUCGAAGCUAACGCAUUAAGCACUCCGCCUGGGAAGUACGGUCGCAAGAUUAAAACUCAAAUGAAUUGACGGGGGACCCGCACAAGUAGUGGAGCAUGUGGUUUAAUUCGAAGAUACGCGCAGAACCUUACCAACACUUGACAUGUUCGUCGCGACUUCAAGAGAUUAAAGUUUUCGGUUCGGCCGGACGAAACACAGGUGCUGCAUGGCUGUCGUCAGCUCGUGUCGUGAGAUGUUGGGUUAAGUCCCGCAACGAGCGCAACCCUCACUUUUAGUUGCCAUCAUUAAGUUGGGCACUCUGAAAGAACUGCCAGUGAUAAGCUGGAGGAAGGUGGGGGAUGACGUCAAGUCCUCAUGGCCCUUAUGGGGCUGGGGCUACACACGUGCUACAAUGGGCGGUGACAAGGG
rnacentral:rRNA from 1 species